ACUGCAGUCGAGCGGUAGCACAGAGAGCUUGCUCUCGGGUGACGAGCGGCGGACGGGUGAGUAAUGUCUGGGAAACUGCCUGAUGGAGGGGGAUAACUACUGGAAACGGUAGCUAAUACCGCAUAACGUCGCAAGACCAAAGUGGGGGACCUUCGGGCCUCAUGCCAUCAGAUGUGCCCAGAUGGGAUUAGCUAGUAGGUGGGGUAACGGCUCACCUAGGCGACGAUCCCUAGCUGGUCUGAGAGGAUGACCAGCCACACUGGAACUGAGACACGGUCCAGACUCCUACGGGAGGCAGCAGUGGGGAAUAUUGCACAAUGGGCGCAAGCCUGAUGCAGCCAUGCCGCGUGUGUGAAGAAGGCCUUCGGGUUGUAAAGCACUUUCAGCGGGGAGGAAGGCGUUAAGGUUAAUAACCUUGGCGAUUGACGUUACCCGCAGAAGAAGCACCGGCUAACUCCGUGCCAGCAGCCGCGGUAAUACGGAGGGUGCAAGCGUUAAUCGGAAUUACUGGGCGUAAAGCGCACGCAGGCGGUCUGUCAAGUCGGAUGUGAAAUCCCCGGGCUCAACCUGGGAACUGCAUUCGAAACUGGCAGGCUAGAGUCUUGUAGAGGGGGGUAGAAUUCCAGGUGUAGCGGUGAAAUGCGUAGAGAUCUGGAGGAAUACCGGUGGCGAAGGCGGCCCCCUGGACAAAGACUGACGCUCAGGUGCGAAAGCGUGGGGAGCAAACAGGAUUAGAUACCCUGGUAGUCCACGCCGUAAACGAUGUCGAUUUGGAGGUUGUGCCCUUGAGGCGUGGCUUCCGGAGCUAACGCGUUAAAUCGACCGCCUGGGGAGUACGGCCGCAAGGUUAAAACUCAAAUGAAUUGACGGGGGCCCGCACAAGCGGUGGAGCAUGUGGUUUAAUUCGAUGCAACGCGAAGAACCUUACCUGGUCUUGACAUCCACAGAACUUUCCAGAGAUGGAUUGGUGCCUUCGGGAACUGUGAGACAGGUGCUGCAUGGCUGUCGUCAGCUCGUGUUGUGAAAUGUUGGGUUAAGUCCCGCAACGAGCGCAACCCUUAUCCUUUGUUGCCAGCGGUCCGGCCGGGAACUCAAAGGAGACUGCCAGUGAUAAACUGGAGGAAGGUGGGGAUGACGUCAAGUCAUCAUGGCCCUUACGACCAGGGCUACACACGUGCUACAAUGGCAUAUACAAAGAGAAGCGACCUCGCGAGAGCAAGCGGACCUCAUAAAGUAUGUCGUAGUCCGGAUUGGAGUCUGCAACUCGACUCCAUGAAGUCGGAAUCGCUAGUAAUCGUAGAUCAGAAUGCUACGGUGAAUACGUUCCCGGGCCUUGUACACACCGCCCGUCACACCAUGGGAGUGGGUUGCAAAAGAAGUAGGUAGCUUAACCUUCGGGAGGGCGCUUACCACUUUGUGAUUCAUGACUGGGGUGAAGUC
rnacentral:rRNA from 1 species